GACGAACGCUGGCGGCGUGCUUAACACAUGCAAGUCGAACGGAAAGGCCCUGCUUUUGUGGGGUGCUCGAGUGGCGAACGGGUGAGUAACACGUGAGUAACCUGCCCUUGACUUUGGGAUAACUUCAGGAAACUGGGGCUAAUACCGGAUAGGAUCUCCUGCUGCAUGGUGGGGGUUGGAAAGUUUCGGCGGUUGGGGCUGGACUCGCGGCUUAUCAGCUUGUUGGUGGGGUAGUGGCUUACCAAGGCUUUGACGGGUAGCCGGCCUGAGAGGGUGACCGGCCACAUUGGGACUGAGAUACGGCACAGACUCCUAAGGGAGGCAGCAGUGGGGAAUAUUGCACAAUGGGCGGAAGCCUGAUGCAGCAACGCCGCGUGCGGGAUGACGGCCUUCGGGUUGUAAACCGCUUUCGCCUGUGACGAAGCGUGAGUGAAGGUAAUGGGUAAAGAAGCACCGGCUAAAUACGUG
rnacentral:rRNA from 1 species